GGUGCUGGAAAUGAAAGAGAAGACAAAAACAGGAGAAGACAUUCAGGGUGACCAGGAUUACCUCUAAUUAGGCUCCCCAGGAGAGAAAUCGUUAUCCGAUGAUUCCUUCUGGGUGACUACAAAAGUUCCCUUGCUCAUUGUUUUUUAUUGCAAAACUAGUAGUGAAUGACAAAUGACUUAAAUCUGGCAAGGGGAGCACUCUAUGAAAUUAUGAAUAUAUUCAAGUUAAAGAUGAUUUCCUGAGAUCAUGAUUAAGCCCUUCUUUGACAUGAGGCCCAGGUAAAGAUUAGUCACUGCCCCACGACUGUGAUUUUCCAUGACACCUUGGCUGAUUCACAAAAAGGGAAAGACCGAGACUCUACAACAUUUUCUCUCAGAAGACUUCUUCCAAGCAGACUGGAGGAACAGGGUCUCCUGUGUUUCAACAGGAUUCUCUGGAUGUGGGAGAUGGCUACACCAUAUUGGAACCUAAAGAUCUGUCCUUGUCUGAACUGACAUCUCGAGUAUGUGGGAGCAAAAUAACAAUAGUGGUACAAUAACAACAGCAAGCAGCUGAACCCAAUGCACCUCAAGAGGAUUGACUGGAACACAAAAUUAACUUUGGAUAUAACACUCACCCCCAUAUUUUCCCAUAUUUCUCAGAACAUUUCUUGUCAAACACCAUCAAACCCUGUGAAAAGAGAUUUUAAAAUGGGAUAAAAACAAGGAUUGGAUAAAAGGGAUCAAGUAGA